GUGCCAGCAGCCGCGGUAAUACGUAGGGCGCAAGCGUUGUCCGGAAUUAUUGGGCGUAAAGAGCUCGUAGGCGGCUUGUCACGUCGGAUGUGAAAGCCCGGGGCUUAACCCCGGGUCUGCAUUCGAUACGGGCUAGCUAGAGUGUGGUAGGGGAGAUCGGAAUUCCUGGUGUAGCGGUGAAAUGCGCAGAUAUCAGGAGGAACACCGGUGGCGAAGGCGGAUCUCUGGGCCAUUACUGACGCUGAGGAGCGAAAGCGUGGGGAGCGAACAGGAUUAGAUACCCUGGUAGUCCACGCCGUAAACGUUGGGAACUAGGUGUUGGCGACAUUCCACGUCGUCGGUGCCGCAGCUAACGCAUUAAGUUCCCCGCCUGGGGAGUACGGCCGCAAGGCUUAUACUCAAAGGAAUUGACGGGGGCCCGCACAAGCAGCGGAGCAUGUGGCUUAAUUCUACGCAACGCGAAGAACCUUACCAAGGCUUGACAUAUACC
rnacentral:rRNA from 1 species